GACUGCCCUCCACAUCGCCUGUGCUUAUGGCCACCCAAAGGUAGUGAUGGCCCUAAUAGAGGGAAGGUGUGAGAUCAAUGCCACGGACAGUGAGGAGUGCACAAGUCUGGUGAAGGCUGUGCAAUGUCAGGAAGAGGAAUGUGCUACCAUUCUGCUGGAGAACGGUGCUGACCCAAACAUUGUGGAUGCCCAGGGCAACAGCGCUCUCCACUAUGCUGUCUAUUAUAAGAAUACAUCACUGGCUGCAAAACUGCUCGAUCAUGAAGUGAAUAUUGAAGCUACAAAUAAGGUAGAGAUCUUGCAUCAGAGGGGUGUUAACCAAUCAACCAUAGUUGCAAAGUGUGUGGAGAACCCUGGUCUACAGAGCACGGGCACCAUCUUCUGCCCCCACCUCACCCCACUCCCCGAACAAGGUCUCACUUCUAGCCUGAAACUCACUGUGGUUUUAAACUUGGCGGGGGGUGGGGGAGGGGAGGUGUCGAGAGGAGGGAGAGAGACAGAGACAGAUACAC
rnacentral:lncRNA from 1 species